GAUGAACGCUGGCGGCGUGCCUAAUACAUGCAAGUCGAGCGAACAGGCGAGGAGCUUGCUCCUCUGACGUUAGCGGCGGACGGGUGAGUAACACGUGGAUAACCUACCUAUAAGACUGGGAUAACUUCGGGAAACCGGAGCUAAUACCGGAUAAUAUAUUGAACCGCAUGGUUCAAUAGUGAAAGACGGUUUUGCUGUCACUUAUAGAUGGAUCCGCGCCGCAUUAGCUAGUUGGUAAGGUAACGGCUUACCAAGGCAACGAUGCGUAGCCGACCUGAGAGGGUGAUAGGCCACACUGGAACUGAGACACGGUCCAGACUCCUACGGGAGGCAGCAGUAGGGAAUCUGCCGCAAUGGGCGAAAGCCUGACGGAGCAACGCCGCGUGAGUGAUGAAGGUCUUCGGAUCGUAAAACUCUGUUAUUAGGGAAGAACAAAUGUGUAAGUAAAUAUGCACGUCUUGACGGUACCUAAUCAGAAAGCCACGGCUAACUACGUG
rnacentral:rRNA from 1 species